GGUACAACCUCACCAUCACUGCUUCAGAUCUCGGAACUUCUCCAGCAUCCACUGUGUUGAGAGUCAUUGUCACCGAUGUCAAUGACAACUCUCCAGUCUUCCUCAACAGUGUCAACAACAGAUAUUUCUUCAAUGUCCAAGAAGGUCAAACACCCCCUGCUACAGUUGGAAGUGUUGCUGCUGUGGAUGGUGAUCAGAGUGGUACACCCCAGAG